rnacentral:misc_RNA from 1 species
CCAAAUUUUUAGGAUAAAGACUUAAUUGAGUUGAAAAAAAAGAAAUGAUAAAUUAUGUGGCAGAGGCAGACACCAAGUUAAAUUCAAACAUUUUGUACUUGCUUCCUUUAGCAUUCCGUGAUCUCCAGAAAACAGAAGUUAUUGAGUUUAAAUAACAAAGUAAUAUAGAUAUUGAGUUUUGGCUCCUGGAAGUCAAGUUUAGUCCUUAAGGUUUGG